rnacentral:rRNA from 1 species
CCUACGGGCGGCAGCAGUGAGGAAUAUUGGUCAAUGGACGAGAGUCUGAACCAGCCAAGUAGCGUGAAGGAUGACUGCCCUAUGGGUUGUAAACUUCUUUUAUAUGGGAAUAAAACGUUCCACGUGUGGGAUUUUGUAUGUACCAUAUGAAUAAGGAUCGGCUAACUCCGUGCCAGCAGCCGCGGUAAUACGGAGGAUCCGAGCGUUAUCCGGUUUUAUUGGGUUUAAAGGGAGCGUAGGUGGAUUGUUAAGUCAGUUGUGAAAGUUUGCGGCUCAACCGUAAAAUUGCAGUUGAAACUGCAGUCUUGAGUACAGUAGAGGUGGGCGGAAUUCGUGGUGUAGCGGUGAAAUGCUUAGAUAUCACGAAGAACUCCGAUUGCGAAGGCAGUUCACUGGACUGCAACUGACACUGAGGCUCGAAAGUGUGGGUAUCAAACAGGAUUAGAUACCCUUGUAGUC